rnacentral:rRNA from 1 species
CGCGGCCUAUCAGCUUGUUGGUGGGGUAGUGGCUUACCAAGGCUUUGACGGGUAGCCGGCCUGAGAGGGUGACCGGCCACAUUGGGACUGAGAUACGGCCCAGACUCCUACGGGAGGCAACAGUGGGGAAUAUUGCACAAUGGGCGGAAGCCUGAUGCAGCAACGCCGCGUGCGGGAUGACGGCCUUCGGGUUGUAAACCGCUUUCGCCUGUGACGAAGCGUGAGUGACGGUAAUGGGUAAAGAAGCACCGGCUAACUACGUGCCAGCAGCCGCGGUGAUACGUAGGGUGCGAGCGUUGUCCGGAUUUAUUGGGCGUAAAGGGCUCGUAGGUGGUUGAUCGCGUCGGAAGUGUAAUCUUGGGGCUUAACCCUGAGCGUGCUUUCGAUACGGGUUGACUUGAGGAAGGUAGGGGAGAAUGGAAUUCCUGGUGGAGCGGUGGAAUGCGCAGAUAUCAGGAGGAACACCAGUGGCGAAGGCGGUUCUCUGGGCCUUUCCUGACGCUGAGGAGCGAAAGCGUGGGGAGCGAACAGGCUUAGAUACCCUGGUAGUCCACGCUGUAAACGGUGGGUACUAGGUGUGGGGUCCAUUCCACGGGUUCCGUGCCGUAGCUAACGCUUUAAGUACCCCGCCUGGGGAGUACGG